UCGGUAUUAUAUAGAAACUAUUGUUUCAUAAAUUAUUUUUUUUUUAAAAAUCAGGUUGGGAUUGCUUUUAGAUACCCUAGGCUUAGGGUGAAGUUUACUAUUACUUAAUAAAAGCCAAACUGGCUUUCGGAUAAUAUCUAGAGUUAGGGAUGGGAUAAUGUAAUGAAACUUGUUAUUUAUUAAACUUGUAUGAAAACCACAGUUGGAAUUGCUAUUAGAUCCCCUGGUCUCAAAGUCACUUUUGCUCAAAAUAUAAAAAUGGUUUCCGAAUGAUUAUUUAAGUUUGCAAUUUGAGAUUGCAUUUUAACUUGGUAUAUAGCAAAUUUAUUUGAAGAUCGAGAUGAUGGUUUGCUCUAGGUACCUUAGGGGCCAAGGUCACUUUUACUAAUCAUAGUGCCUUGCUGACCUUGUUGUCCCCGCCCCUGGGGUCACUAAGUAGAUAUAGUCUGGUAUGAGAAAACGCAUUUCAUUUUUAUUUUGUGAAACACUAAUGCGAAGGGAUAAGAUAUGUAUUUGACAUGUAGCAAUACCUUGUGAAUGUCUGCAAACAUCAUUUGUAUUAAUCAUGUUCCAGUGGUCAAAAUUUGCCCACCCCGGUGUCAUUUUAUAAAGAUAUAGGAAACACAUUUAAGUCUUAUUGUGUGAAACUACAACCUUUAGAGUUAAGAUAUAUGCCAUGAAGCAUCAGUUUGUAAAUUUCUACAAAAUAUAUAUUAAUCAUGACCCCAAAGCAGCGAAAGUCUUGCAUUAACUAGACUAAGGUAUAGGGAGACACAUCUUUCCUUUUUCGUUAUACAUACUAUGCCUCUAUAUUUGACAUAAAUCAUUGUGUAGUAGAUCGCUUUAAAAGUUUUAUGAAUCACACACUUAGGGUAAAAUGCCUUGUAGGUCAUAAAGUGUCAUAAGAAUAAUAAAGAUUAAAAUAUUUUAAACACUUUUCUUGAUUGUCUGAUUACUUAAAUCAACAUUCGGAUUAAAUUGCCCUGCAUUUGUAUUUUACAUGAUGUUAUACAUGAUAAUACUAGUAUACAGGUCUAUAAAAUCUGGCUAUGUUGUCUAUGUAUCAAUCACUCGUUGUUUACCACCCUUUUUUACACAGGUAAUGGUUAAUAGAUUAUCAUACUGACAGGUUUAGUUCAAGUUACACUUCAGACCACUUCUUAUUAAAAAAAGUUAACGUGGUGGAUGAGGGUAUGAAAAACGUUUGUGAUAGCUCUACUAUGGAAGUUGAAAGUAAAAUAAGAUGCUCCAAAUAUUGAUAGACGUAUAUACAUACUUUGAACCACAUCACUUCACAAAGAGGGAUGAUGAAGCAAUUUAGCUUGAUAUGCAUUAUUCUUUGGCUCAACAAAGGUUUAACAACGAACGAAUGCGACAAUUGCCAAUGCUGUAAACAUAAAGCAUGUCAUAGCCAUAAUCAACGCUAUAGCAAUUAUUGUGAAAAUGGUUGUAUUAAUGGUUAUUUUGGUGUUCAAUGUAAACAUAAGUGUAUUGAAAAUUGUUUGACUUGCACUGAUCAAAAUACAUGCAACAAAUGU